UGCGUGAGCACCAGAGCUCAGAAUGCCCAUAUGGUGUGAGUCUUUAUAAAUACAUAUGCACAUAUGUACAUCAAUGUGUGCUUAUAUACAAACAUUAGGUUCGAAUGAAUCAGCUGUUCAAUGCGUAUUAAUCAUAUGGUUAUAUGACAUGCCCUCGACAGUGUGUGUGUAUCUACAUGGCUGUGUAUGGACGUAUGCAUGUAUUCAAUCAUGAAGGCAGUAAUGGGGAAAUAUAUGUAUAUAAAUACAUCCAAUAUGAUAAAAUUGUAAAUGCAUUUGAAUGUCUUCGACUCAAAACAUCUUAUGUUAUAAAAUUAAAGACUUUUAGAAACAUAAAUCUAUAAUGAGGAUAUUGCGCACAAUAAAUUUUCGAAUCGAUUUUUUCGACCUGAAGCGGAGCUUAACGAUCAUUAAAGCGGGACUCUGCUACCAGCAUGACGGCAUUCAAUGCUCUUCCG